CAACCAUUUACACAUCUCAGUGUUCUGAAUAAGAGAAUACAAAAAGUAUGAAUAAAAAGCCAUAUGCAUUCAUGUGACACAGCUGAGUCACUACCUAUAGGCGGGACACAUUCAGUAUUAUUUGAUGUUAAUGUGUGCCCCUCUUAGGAAAAUAUUUUUUGAUUACACACUGAUAUAAAAAGCCAAGAUCAUCCGAGGCUCCAGAAGAAAUACCAACGGUAUUCCUUCCUAAGUCCAUAUAGCAAUUGGACAGAUCAAUACAAUGAGAAAGGCAUGACAACAAAUAUGCAAUGAUAGAAGGACCAGCACAAUAGAAAAGUACCAUAAAGAAAGGGAAGAAGAUCGCUCACCUGCUUCAGAAGAUUCCAGGUUCACAGGGGAAAGCUACACCAAGGAGGGAUCUCCAACCAGAGAUCCUUCCCCAGUGGCAGUCAGCCCUUAAAUGAGGCCUAAGAGAGGUGUAGCCAGGCUCCACCCCUUCUGGUCACACAGCAGAAUUGCCUUCACCUGUGCUCCCAGGGCUGACCGGGUCCUUUCCCAGGUGCUCAAUCAGUGGUUCAGGCCCUGACUCAACAGUUCCUAUACAUACAGCAACAGCAGAAUUCACAUCCAGUAUUG
rnacentral:lncRNA from 1 species